UAUAAAAACUUUAACCUGGAUAUUUUUUAACAAAAAAAAACACAAAAUUUUUUACUGUGUAUUAAACAUAAAGUAACAAUUAAUCAUAACUUGUUUCAAGUUGUCUACAGAGAGAAUUGAGAUUCCUGAAAAUGUUUUUUAAGUUUGUCGCUUUCUUCGACUUAAAAUUUUUUUAAAUUGAAAUUUUAUCUUUUAUUAGUUUUUCUAUUGUAGGCCGAUGUAUUUAAAACGCAGUCCGCACACAAUGCAAAAUUCAAAAAAUUUGGACCUGUGUCGCUUUUCUUGCAGAAGCAAGUGAUAUGUGAUCCUGACGUUUCGACAGGCUCGUUGCGUGGACAAGUCGCCGUUGACAGCCGGCAGUGCAGCUUAUGCGAUUAAUUGCGCUUUAAUUCACCCCGCCCCGCUCAAUACGUCGCGGCCCUUCCAAAAUUACUUCUCCAAUUAACAUACACGUUUUAUGUUGCGUUCAUCAAUAAUCGAUAUCUCGUGUGCCUACCUAUCAAGCCUACGCGCUUGAAGCGAAAUGUGUUGACGUGUGCCUGCUACCGUUCGCCGCACUGUUUGGUUCGUUGGAUGUGUUUGGCCGUGUCUCGAUGCAUGUCUGAUUGCUUGCUCAGCAAGUCGUUGAUGGACACGUGUGUGUGUGUGUGUGUGUGUGUGUGUGUGUGUGUGUGUGUGUGUGUGUGUGUGUGUGUGUGUGUGUACGUCGGAAUAUGUCUGUCACCGCUACGACACGACGUCUCACACAUUUCAUAAUUAUCUCUUUAAUGUACACGUACGCGGAUGGCGUGAUAUGGAAUAUUUAUAUCCUGAGAUCCUUUAAAUAAUUCAUUCGAUUCGUUGCACGGUCGAAUAUCUUUAUUAGCGAUUAUUUUCUCCAUUGAUAGGCAACGAAUAUCAAACUCGAUUUGUUUUUUAUUCAUUCCUUUACGCUGUUGAAUUUAUAACGUCAAAUUAGAUUGAAUUUGAUUUUUCGAAUCAUUUCUAUAUUGCCACUGCUCCUACUUGAUUUGUUAUUAAUUUAUCUAAAACAAUAAAGUUAAAUAAUUUAGUUCAAGGAAUGUACCUAUCAAAUUUGAUUCAAAUUUAAUUUAUUAUUUAUUAAAUGCGUGUGUGUGUGUGUGUUAAUAUGUACACUGUUUACUUUGAAACUAAACGAUUUAAUUACAAAAACAAGUUGAUUGCAUGUAGUUGUUUUUUUUUAAUUACAUGUUUUAAGUUUGAAGAAUAAAUUUCAACACACGCGAAAAUUAAACAUAACAAAAUGUUAAUUAACUCGAGAAAUUGGUUGAAAUUUUAUUCUUUAAUAUUUAACAGUGUAACAGAAAUGCGUAUCCAAUAAUAGCUAAGAGAGACAUAGCGACCUUUAAUUCACGGGCGAAUGGGAGAACAUUCUUAGAUUUGUUCGCUUUGACACUAAUUGUAAAAAACUCCUAGUGGAUCGGAUCGGUCACGUUGCUACCUCGAUAAUCUCGAUGUGUGUUCUCCGAAUACAAAGACGAUCUCAGGAGAAAUGGCUUUGUGACGAUGAGAGCGCGUGCCGGCGCGUCUGGAGAACACUGUCGUUGAAAUACCGUGAUCUGUCUUUCUUCUUUGCACGUCGUCCAAGAAGCUAUGGAAUUUAGAUGGGAAAGCCAAGUCAACUGAUACUAUAUUUUGCAUGCUGCGCAAAGCGAUCAUCUACCUUGUAGAAAGCGCGCAUCAGAUUCGAGCGUUGACCUUCUCGUCAUAUCAGACUUUUCAGUCACUAUUAUUCACUUAAAUUAUUGUAGGAAAUCAAACACGCACACGCUCAGUUAAAAUUUAAGUUCUCUUUAUUAGACUCGCAAGGACUGACUCUUAGAUGCUACUCGCACGGAUCGCUCGCAAAGACUGACCUUUUUUUCUUGUCGCUAGGCUCGCGUGUCCAGCUCCUACGCGGGCGCUAUCGCACGUCCACUCGCAGACAAAAAAAAGAGAUGCAUUAAAAAAAAGAGAUGCGUUCUAUCCUCGCGACCGCCGCACUGAUCCGUCGUGCUAACGUUGGAAAAACUUUUUACGAUCGGGCUUGUCCCGCGCCCGGCUCCACAUUAUCAUAUAUUUAUCUAUCAAUUAGGAACAAAACAUAUGAUAUGUAGAUUAAGGCAGGAAAAUGUUCUAAUUAUACCAAGAUCUGUAUGAUAAAAUGCAUUUAGAUAAGAUAAAACAAAGUUUCUAGUUAUCAUGAUUGGAAUCGAUAUUUUAUAGCUAGAACAUUGAUAAAGUUAACUAUAAGAAUUUGAUUAGGUAAUUAUCGGUUUAUAAAGUUUCUUGUGUCACGUUUGACAGAGACAUUUUUUGAUUAAAAAUUAUGUGCUGACUGAAAGUUAUGUGCUAAUUAAAUAAAUUUAGUAUUAUUAUUAGUUCUUUAAUUAUCUUAUUUUUAGAAUAGAAGACUAGAAAUUCUAAUAUACAAGAAGUUUUUAAUUUAUCUGAUAAUUUCUAAAAGAAUUUUGAUUUAUUUAUUUUCCAAGAGACGCAGUGAAGUCCAUCAGACUUCCAAUUUAUGGAACCAUAUUUUUUCCAGUGUAUGAGUCGGAUUAAUGUAAAAUUGUGUUUGAUAUGAGUAUAAAGUAAAAAGAAAAUUGAGGAGAUAAAGGAGAUGAGAGAUACGAGAAAGAGAGAUACGGUUCGGGGGAAAAAAAACGUUCCUUUAGAAUAAAAUAAAGAUUUAUUGCGCGGGAAAGAUCAAUACCUCGAGAACGAAUAAUUCUUGCUAAAAUUAAAUUAAGAGGAAUUAUUCUUUUAUAUUUCAAUAUUAACAUAUUGAUCCAGUCCUUAGUUCUGUCCGAUGGAACCGUAUCGUUAACACGGUUUCUUUUUUCAGAAAUCCAUUUGUCCCAUCGAUUCCGUUCAUCUGUCGCUUUUAUAUGAUACGAUAUCUGAACCGGGGGAGAGAGAGAGAGAGGGCGAGUGCGGCAGUAUAGCAGUAAAUGAGACGUUAACCGCCUCGCGCAGGUGUGUCCCUUCCAAUAUCCUUUUUCGCGGCGAUCCACGUUCGAGCGUUAAAACGUUCCUUAAAUAUCGCCCGUGCUCAACGGUGAAUUACGAUUUACUCCGGCCACGGCAGCGUCGAACUUAUGCUAAGGGAAAAGAAGAUAGAGAGAGAAAGAGAGAGAGAGAGAGAGGGGGGGGGGAGGGCAGAGAAGUAGAAAGAGGAGAGAAGUGGCAUGACGGGGUGGAAUCGAGCUUGCACGGCUCUGUACGGCGAUUUCUUAGACGCUCGGCGCAAUAAGUACCCAUAAUGCCUCGAAACGCGAAGCAAGCGGAACCAUCUCAUCGUUUACCCGCUAUCGGCCGCCAUCGUCCGCCGCUGUAAGACGUCGGUUAUCGGGAGAUUGCACAGCCUCUUCAAGAAUACUAAUAACGAAGUCGGAGGGAGAACUAAGCGAAUUUUCUGCGUGUCCGACGAUUACGAAUCAGCUCGGAUCUGUCUAUUGCCUAUCGGAAUCUCUAUAUAUAGUUGGUUGAGCGUUUCCGCGAUCGAUUUUGUUCGCGCGUAAUUUCACCGGAGAGUCAGGCUCGAUCGCAGGGGAGAGUCGAGAAGUUAUUAACUCCGGCGUACGAUUAAAAUAGGUUGUAUUCUCGCAGUCUUACGCGUGAUAAUCUUGACUGCUGUUUGUUUUUGACUACUUUGGGCGCUGUACGUUGGGGGUAGAUGGAGGCCUAAGGUACACAAAGACGAGCGACGUAGGCAAUUUUGCGCCCGGUUAACGGAUGCUACUGUGUUUUACUCGAGACAUUAGGUGCGAGGGGUUGGGAUGUUAGAUAAUCCCGCUUAGAAUGUAUCUUACAAACAACGUGCGCAAAGCGGGGCGAGCUGUUAUUCUCUCCUGCAGAGUGUGUUAUACGAUUAAAUCGGGAUGUAACGUAUAUGCAGGGGGAGUACGACUCGUGUUAGGCUUACAGAGGGUGCUUGUGUAACGCGAAAGAACUCGCUCGAUCUCCGCGCUGCGAUAAAUCUUCACGAUAUCCCGUUCGUCAGUUUCUCGAUUGAAUUGGCCCACGGAAAAUUGUGGGAACUCGCGGGAACUGGAUCGAAGCCGAAGUCUAGAAAAUGAAGGAGAAAGUAAGAUUGGGGAGAUAGAGGUUCCUCCGGAUUAACAGUAAAACGACUGCGCGCGGUAAGGGCGAAACUUUUCCCGCAUCUCCAUGGAGCGCGUUUCUGUAUUAAGGAUCUGGAAGGAUUUAAAACAAGUCUCGGAUACACGGGUAAAACAAUGCGAAAACGAGUAAGCUAACGUAAAAGACUGUACCUAACAUGCAAUGAUCCAAGUUAAAUUGCAAUUGUAUAACACUUCGUGCACCACGAGUAAUUUGCGGUAAAUUCAUAUCUGGGCUCUUCUAAGUAGCCGCUUUCGAAAUGACAAAACGCUACUUCGAAGUAAACAGAAUUUAUCAGAAAUAAAAGAUAAAAAAAGAGAAAGAGUCCCAUUUUUCAUCGAAGCGGAUUUUAAGAUGUUUAAUAAUAUUUCUACAACAAUUAUUAAAAAAUACCAGAUAUAUGUAUUUUGUUUUAAUAAAAAAGAUCGAAAAUUUCUUUACUUCAGUUCUUUGCUAAAAAAGGAUUUGGUUUACAAUAUUUUUUAAUUAUAUAUAUCUAUAUAUCCAUAAAUUUAAUAAUUAAUCAAUAUCUAUUCUGUUAUAAUUUUGUUUUUAUCUACAUAAUCUUUUCUUAUUUUAUUAGCUUAUUUAAUACAGUGUUUAACAUCUAAGCUGUUUACAUUUCGUUAUUCUAUUGUUACAAUAUCGCAAAAGAUUUUUUAUCUUACUCUUUUAUCCUAAUAAAAUUUGUAAAUAAUAUAUUGUAUAUGUAACAUACAUAUAUAUGUAAUCGAGCUUUACUACGAAAAACGUCUUUGGUACGCCGCGUUUGCUUUCAUCUACAGUUUCUUUGACGAAUUUGGCGUCCAUUUUUUCCAAACGAAUUCGAUUGGCUACCUUUUCACAUGUACUUUCCGGGUUUAUAAAAAAGUCCUUUGUCCCCCUAAAUCUUUUGUCUUUCAUCUAUCGUUUGAUCUAUUGUAAAAUCGUCAAAACAAAGUCAAUUUUUGCAAUACGUCUUUACAAUAUUAUAUGCAAUAAAUAUGAAACUUGAAGUCUUUUGCAUUAUAAUUGGAACAAAUCUUUGAUUUAAUGACAAGAGUUGAUAAUUUAAAUUAAGCCAAAUAUUAUGUUUUUAUUUUAAUAUUAUAGGAAUAGUCAUCUAAAAAGAGCACAAUAUGUGAUUGUUCCGAUAAUAAAAAUAUUUAAAAAAUGUAGUUUUUAGUUAAAAGAUAUUGUUACUUUCUAAUAUUUUUUCUUUUAAUUUGUGAAAAGUAUUAUAUUUUUUUUUGAUAAACUUAUACACAUUUUUUUUUAAGCAAGUUGGAGUAAAUGAUCCAGUUAUAGGAUUUAAGUACUGAAAAUCGACUUUGACUGCUUUUUUUAAUUAGAAGAUUAAAUAAGUUUUAUUUUUAAUGAAAUGAUAUAACAGUAAGUAGACCUCUCGAAAAGUAAAAUUAACUAUAAUUAUACUGAUUGCGAGAAAAAUGUGAUAUUUGCGACUAUAAUUACAUAGUAAAAUAAUUAUAGUUCCAGAAUAUCAUUCUUAUAGUAAUUAUUACUAUAACAUUAAUGAGGAUAACUAUUUAUUCAUGGUAAUAGUUGUAAUAACUGCUUUAUAGUACAAUUUGCUAUAUUAAAAUCUCUGCUUUGGCUAUGACAAUCAUAUUGUAAAUUGCAUAGACCAAUAUUAUGACUAUAAAAACUUUAACAUAGUUUAAACAAACUAUAUCGUUGAAUGACUAUCAAAAUAUGGUUGGGUCCAAAAAUCUGAUAAAUUACAGUAAUAUUAUAAUUACCGCAGUUAUUUUUUCUCUCGAUAUUAUAAUUAAAAAAAAAUUUGUUCUAUGAUCCGUGACUACUAUUGCACAUAGUAAUAUUUAAUAUAAAAUUUCCUCCGUAUAGCGUAUGCUUUUAAGGAUGCGGGUUUAAAAACGACUACAAAUUAUAGUGAUAUUUAUGGUUACUGGAAAACUUUUUUCUUUCGGUGUACGAUAAUUACAUUUAAAAAUCGAACUUCAAAUUUCCCGUUUUUAAGACACCGUCAAUUAAUUAGACCAUUGACUUUGUGUCUGUGUUAAAAUUUUUCAAACAUGAUCUUGUAUUCUUGUUUAUAUAAAACAAUGAUUGUUGAUUGAUGUGAAACUAAUCCCUUUUUUUCUGUUUAGAGUCACAUAUUCGUUUCGCUGGGUGCAGUCAAUCGAUUCCGAGUAAAUAAUCCGGUCCCGCGGGUUCGCUCGGAAACUCGGAAAAUCGGGCGCGAAAAUUGAUUCUCUCACUCUUGCGUCGCGCACGGUCUCCCCGGUGAUGUUCCCCUCCCCCCCUCCCCCUGGCGGCGUAUAGCGCCGGGUUUUCGCCUCCUCUCGAUAAACCCUAUCAAACGCAGGCGAUGAAAGCUCGCGCGGUCCGUUCAUCUCGGUUGCGAGGCGAUUUCCAACCGCGCACGCACGAGGGCUCGUCAUAAAUCUGACUGGCCGCGACGACGACAGUGCGUUGCUCGGCGGCAGUAAUUAACCAUUCGUCGACUGUCGGUUCUUCUGGCAGCUAGAACCCCUAUAGUGAAGAGGGGAAAGGGGACGAGGUGGGAAGGGCAAUCGGAUCGAUACGUCUCCUCUCCGAUGCGCCUUGUGCUCGAAGAUGCGACGCGGGAAACGCGCUCGCGGGAAGAGGGCGAGGGAGACGUGCGCCGAUUGAUGGGAUUGAUCAUGGGCUAGAUUAGGGAGAGUGACGAAUUGUUAUUUGUCCCCGCCGCACUCGCUCCCGCGGAUGCCGCGCGUUUAUAUUCCGCUCGCCGAUAAUUAAUUCCUUCCUCUCGAAGGUUAUCCUGACUAAUCGUCCGGUCUUAGAAAGCCCAGCUAACCCGAGACAGCCCGGCCCGGUCGGCGCAGCUGCCGGGCGUGUUCGGUUUAAUGAGAGUGCAACGCCGAGAUUUCGAAGAAGAAUCCGAUUAGUGCCGCGCAUAGCGAUAAAUAUCGCCGUGGAUCAAUGUGAUUUAUCGCCCUGUAUUCGCCCUGGAUUCGCGCGUCUCGAACUAUCCCGCGCGAUAUAAUUUAUAUGUACGCGCGCCGCGCGUACACAACUUACGGUAUACUAUGGGUACACCAGAUAAUGCGGCUAAGAGAGAGAGAGAGAGAGAGAGAAAGAAUUGAUGCGUACACGUCAAACGUUGCGUCGAGUUCGGAAUUAAUGAUCUGGCCGGAAAGACCCACCCACAUAUCUCCGCAUUCUUUUUUCUCCCUCUUUCUCCCUCCCUCUCUCUCUCCUCGUGUUUCUUUUUUUAGAUAAAUAAAUAUCAUCCGGAAAGAUAUAGCUUCUCGCUUCUUUUUGCACUUUCUCUUUAUUUAUUACGCGAGCGCGAUCCUUUUUUAUUACUGGUUAAUUAAUCAAGCUUUAAAAAUCAGCGGCCGGGGUAAGGGUGGGAGGGGGGACGUAACGGUGGAUGUCUUGAUAGAUAUGCCGUGCAUACGGAAAUAUGUACGCGCGUAUGAUACGUAGCGUACUUCGAAUUUGUUUGACAAGUCGCCCUGACGGGUAAGUGCAACCGCGAAUUUGAAAUUCUAAAUAUUGCACCGAGGGGAGGGGGAGGAGGAGGACCUCCGUAGGUAUUGCGGUGCAAUCGAUCAUUCGUAACAAGUUCUCCUGCUAGGAUAUAUAUCCCAUUGAAAAUGCUUCCGCGAUACACUCGACAUAUCUGUUGCAAUACGUAAUGCGAUCGCGCGCUGCAAAAAGUAAUCACGGUACCGCAAUUUCUAAGCAAUAAUCUUGUCCCGACUGAAUUUUGCCGGAGCAAAUUUCGUUAUUGCUUCCACCAUUUGAAUGUGACACAGCUCAAACGGAAUGGAUAAACCGAUAAGCAGUGGCGGUAAUUAGCGUUACCGCGAAUCGAUUCGCGAAUAAUUACGAAUAGGAUUUGUUACGCUAACAUCUAUACACGGAGGAAAUUUUGUAGUAAGAAUAGCAUAAUAAUAUGCUAUUAAUGAGUGCGCACUAAGGAAGGAAUUGUGUAAAUUUUGACUAUGUUUUUAUAUAUUGACUACUUCACUGAUAGAAAAGUGUGUCAUAUAUGUAAUUAUAAUUGCAUAGUAAAAUAGUUAUAGUCAGGAAUAUUAUUUUUACAGUAACUAUUACUAUAAUAUUGGUAAUAAUUAUGUUUAUAAUAAAUGCUUAUAAUAAUUAUUUUAUGAUACAACUUACUAUAUUAAAAUCUUUAUUUUGCUUGUAAUAACCAAAAGCAAAAACCAUAAAUUAUAUUGAUAUUAUGGUUAUCGCAACUAUUUUUUUCUCUCGGUAUUAUAAUAUAUUUCUCUAACAUUUAUUUUUAUGUUUCGUGGCUACUAUUGCACAUGGUAAUUUUUAAUACAAAAUUUUCUCCGUGCGGCGUAUGCUUUUAAGGAUGCGUUUUGGCUACACAAUACCAGCUAAAAGUUCGAUCGAAAUUUAAUACUGAUUGAUAUUUAUUCCGCUUCGUAUUCGUUAUUUUACUUCAAUUUAAGUGAAUCGGUUUAAAUAAUAUAUACGUUCUUCUCUGACUUGUUUACCAUUAUAAAAAUUUUAGAUCUUACACAGAUGCCUGAACGCAAUAAUAUGUAAAAUUUUUAUAUUUUUAAUAGAGACGUGCGUUCUUAAAACAGAGAGAAAUUAUGUGAAAAGUGGCAAUGCACGUUGCGAAUAUUGUUAAGCUGCAGGCGCAGUUCGCGCAUGUAACCGUGCGGUGGUGCGCUACAAAAAAAAAAGAAAAGAAAAAAGAGGCGGAUCUUGCCCGAUAUUCAAUUUUCGCUCGGCCACAGAGUGUCGACUCUUAUUUGCCAAGGUUGUAAUGCAAAGCACCCGAUAUUUGCCGAACGCGUUGGGGCGGCGGCGUCUAUUUUGCCGGUAUGGUAAAAAUAAAACGUUGAGUGCUGCUAAAUGGUGUCGGCGUGAGAGGCGACGCCGUGUACGUGCAUACACACAACUGAAAUUGUUGCUCUCCGGGUUUACGCGUAGGGAAAAGCAGAGUGAAAUGCGAACGGUGAGUCUGUUCGUCGUUAGGGGGGGGGGAGUCUCGGGAUAGUGCGAGUGUAUUGGGGACGGGAAAACGCGAGAAUCCCACGUUGGUGAAAGUUGCCGUCGGGUUAGGUGUUGCUGGUCGAUCGGCUUUUUCCACCUGAUAAAGCUCAGCCAAUUAAUGUCCGCCGGUUAAGUCACUUUGCCGCCGAUAAAACCGAAGGGGAGACGCGCGCGCGUUGAUUCGAGAGAUCCGGCUUAUUUGUGCACGCGUCUGCCAAGGGGUGGGACCGAGAAAAUCGGCUACGAUUUGUUCAUCACGGCGUGAUACGACAUCGGGAUGAAGGGAAACGCGGUGAAAAACGUCCGCGUCGUCGUGAUAACGAGCGUGCGGCUUUAUUUGGCUACGGGCUUGUUUAGCGAAGCGCCUGGCGAAAGCGUGGUUGUGUGUAGCCAUUGGAAUAUAUUAUCAUCUGCGAACGCCACUCUAGUUAGGAGUCGCCGCGCAGUGAUUUCUCGACGUGAGGGAAGAACCGGCGAGAAAACCCAAUCCGACAGGAAAGUGUAUUGCCGAUCGAUAUCGAAGCGGAGCUUUCCAGCGCAGAGUGGUAUCUGAAAUCUUUAUACGCUACACGAAGCGGAAUCUCGUGCCGAAGAGUAAACGUAAAACUUGUGUGUCAAGUUAUGGACGUUUUACAUGUUGUACAAAUAUAGAAACUGAUGUCUGAAAUAUUUUCGUUGGUUUCUUUAAUCUUUCUAUUGCGAAUCGCACGGUUACGGGGCAUUAUGAUUACUCUACCCCUCUACCGUAAUGUUUGAAAGAUAAGAUUUCACCGCUUGAACGUAGUAUUUUAUGAUAUUAAUUUAAAUACUAGCAAUUUUCGAUUCUGUUAAUUUUUGUUUAUUCAUGUUAUUACUAUUUAUUUAGUCUUCUCAUCGUUUUAUCGUCUACUUUUGAUUAAUUUCCAAUUUUUUUAAUUAAGUAUAUGUAUAUAGUAAGAAAAUGUGAAUUAUAUUAAUUUUACUUUGUACAAAUAAAUGAUAUAUUAAAAACGCAUUGAUUAAAUUUAGAAAAUGUUCAGAUAUUUUAAGUUUUUUUAUAAAAGGAAACUUGCUAAGUAUACUGUGAAACUUUUUUCCAUACUUUUUGUCGUUGUGUAUGUAUACCCAGACAACAAAUUUACAUCCAUAGUACGUCCUUGAGACAUCGCGCUAGUUAUCCCGCGAUUAUAACGAGAUUGUCUCAUGGGAUGCCCAUAGGAUAAAAAAUGUCUACUGUCUUUACCGCAGUAGGACGAUCUUGCUGACGUCCUAAAGACGUCCCUACGAUAGCCCAAGAUCUCCAUAAGACAUCAAGAGGAUAUUGAAAUUUACAUCCAUAGUACAUCCUUGGGACAUCACGCUAGUUAUCCCGCGAUUGUAACGAGAUCGUCUCAUGGGAUGCCCAUACGAUAAAAAAUGUCCACUGCCUUUACCGCAGUAGGACGAUCUUGCUGACGUUUUUAGGACGUCAACAAGAUCGGCCUACUGCGAUAAAAAAAAGCGGACAUUUAUGAUCCUAUAGGCAUCCCAUGAGACGAUCUCGUGACAAUCGCGGGAUAACUAGCAUGAUGUCCCAAGGAUGUACUAUAGAUGUAAAUUUCAAUGUCCUCUCGAUGUCUUAUGGAGAUCUUGCUUAAUUCUGCAUCCGGAAAAAACGGUCACCCAUCCAAGUGCGAACCAUCGCCGACGUUGCUUGACUUUGAAGAUCGUACGCAUCUAACGCUUCGUGAUGAUCCAUGAAUACUUCAUGUUUAUCAUUACAUAUUAUUUUUUAUAAAUCAUUUUAAUAGAUGUUGUAAGAAGGAUGAAACAUGUAUAGUUAACUUACAAUUUUUUUUUUAUAAAUAAAUAUAAAGUUUUACAGUUUUUUAUUAAUUUUACGUAUGCGAAAUAAGAUGUGAAAUAUGAUGAAAACUUAUAAAAAGAUCUGUGUUUGCUCUGUUUGGGUAAAAUAAAAUAAAAAAAAUAAGAACUAGAUGUCAUUUUUUAUAAUUUUUAAUAUUGUUAAUAUAUUGUUUCAAUAAGUGUAAUAUUGUCGUAAUUGUCACAUUUUUAUGUUCCUGAGAGCUCCUAUGGACGUCCUCUGGAGAGUACGCUUUGCUCGUCUAUUUGCUGUUACAACGGGAUAUUUUUAAACCGUCCCGCAUUGAGCUUGAGUAGGACGAGAUCUUACUGAGAACUCCUACGGAUGUCCUCUGGAGAGUACGCUUUGCUCUAUUCCCUGUUACAAUGGGAUAUCUUUUAAUCGUCCCGCAUUGAGCUUGAGUAGGACGAGAUUUUACUGAGAGCUCCUACGGAUGUCCUCUGGAGAGUACGCUUUGCUCGUCUAUUCCCUGUUACAACGGGAUAUCUUUAAACCAUCCCGCAUUGAGUAGGACGAGAUCUUAUUAAGAGCUCCUAUGGAUGUGCUCUGGAGAGUACGCUUUGCUCAUCUUUCGCUGUUACAACGGGAUAUCUUUAAACCGUCCCGCAUUGAUUUUGCGUAGGACGAGAUUUUACUGAGAGCUCUUAUGGAUGUCCUCUGGAGAGUACGCUUUGCUCGUCUAUUCGCUGUUACAACGGGAUAUCUUUAAACCGUCCCGCAUUGAUCUUGCGUAGGACGAGAUUUUACUGAGAGCUCUUAUGGAUGUCCUCUGGAGAGUACGCUUUGCUCGUUUAUUCGUUGUUACAACGGGAUAUCUUUAAACCAUUCCGCAUUGAUCUUGAGCAGAACGAGAUCUUAUUGAGAGCUCUUAUGGAUGUCCUCUGGAGAGUACGCUUUGCUCGUCUAUUCGUUGUUACAACGGGAUAUCUUUAAACCAUUCCGCAUUGAUCUUGAAUAGGACGAGAUUUUACUGAGAGCUCUUAUGGAUGUCCUCUGGAGAGUACGCUUUGCUCGUCUAUUCGUUGUUACAACGGGAUAUCUUUAAACCGUCCCGCAUUGAUCUUGAGCAGAACGAGAUCUUAUUGAGAGCUCUUAUGGAUGUCCUCUGGAGAGUACGCUUUGCUCGUCUAUUUGCUGUUACAACGGGAUAUCUUUAAACCGUCCCGCAUUGAUCUUGAAUAGGACGAGAUCUCAUUGAGAGCUCUUAUGGAUAUCCUCUGGAGAGUACGCUUUGCUCGUCUAUUCGUUGUUACAACGGGAUAUCUUUAAACCGUCCCGCAUUGAUCUUGAGCAGAACGAGAUCUUAUUGAGAGCUCUUAUGGAUGUCCUCUGGAGAGUACGCUUUGCUCGUCUAUUUGCUGUUACAACGGGAUAUCUUUAAACCGUCCCGCAUUGAUCUUGAGCAGGACGAGAGCUCUUACUGAGAGCUCCUAUGGACAACCAUAAGACGUUUUAUCUUGCCAGGACAAAAAUGGGAUAAAAUCGAGAUGAUCCCGGGAUCAAUUUUGCUGUGUGGGUAUUGUAGUUGUAAACAUUGUCCACUUUAUAUUUUUUGAAUACUUUUUGUUCAUAUUAUAUCCAAAGGAAAAACUGUCGUGAUAUUAAAAAAUUCCAAGGGCAUAUUACUUUUUCUAAAAUGUUAAAAGAUUUUCGAUAAAUUGUAUUAACUUUUUGGAAUUCUAUGCAGGAUAUUCUAAAAAUAUAAGGAAUAUAAUUUUGAAUUUAAUAGACAGUACACUGUUUAUCCUUAAACAGUCAGUUUCACAUAACUGACUUUUAAUUAUUAAGAUUUUUUUAUCGCAUUGACAAUAACGUAGAUUUAUGAUGCGAGAAACAAGCUUAUGUGUUAAUAAGAGAGACAAAAAUUUCGAAUAUUUCAAUUUACGCUCGGUGAAAAAUAUUUCAAGAAUUUAACUUGCAACCAUUUGAAUUCCGUGGAGUUUAACCGGAAACGUAGUAAAUUAAACAAGUAAGUGUAUGGAUAUGUGUUGCGGUAAUUAAACUACAUCUGGAAUAUUUUCCUUUCUUCCGCGCAAUGGACGGGGGAGCGUGUUGUACGCAGGGAAAAAACAACCCAGCAUCUUAUUAAUUAAUUUAUACAGCUGCGGUCGCGGCAGCUUCCCUCAGAAUGUACGCUGCGGUUAGCGGACAAGUAUAUAUUGUGCACAUGCAAAAACUCUUUCUUUAAUUACGUUACGUGCGCCAAAAGUUUCUUCAUUAUACACGUAACUUUUGCAUACCGUCGUUACGCGCAUGGCUUUUUAAGAAACUUGAUGUUUUCAACUGAAUACACCUAAUGUUAUGUAAAAAAAUCGAAUACUCAACGCGUUUACGUCGAAUUAUUAUUACACAAUCGUAAUAGUGAUUGUUAUCGAAAAGGAAUUCGAUAUCUUAAUUGCAGGGAGAUUUCGAGUAGUGGGGGGGGGGGGGAAUUAAAUUGCAGCGGAGGAUAUAUGUCGUAACAUUUUUUUUGUUGCCCGACAAUACGGCGGAUAUUCUCGGCGCAAUUAAUGUGCAACGUACGUGACGCAAGUGUGAAUUCCAAAACGAUAGUACUGGUCGUUCAAUCGAUAUCGCUUUUUGACGCCGUCAGACGUACACUAAUCCGGCGAUAAUGCGGCACUAUGAACCUGUACAAUCCGUCGCGUUUAUCUCAAUAAAUAUAGUCCCUCGCCGUGCUGUAGGCUGUCGCGAGCAGACUGCGCGCACCCAUAGAUAGUUAUUUCUCUCCUCUAGAUAUCGCAAUGGGAACGGCGUGCACUUACACGUCGCGGCGAAUUGGUUGCUUGAUAAAUGCUUUACGUCACGGCCCGAAAUGGCAGUUUUAUACGACAGCUAUACAGUGUAUCGACUAUUGUGCCGGUUAUAAACGCUAUCUCGCGCGAUCUAUCAUCUUUUUUUCUCCUACUCCGAAAGAAAAUAGCCGUGGAUCACACGUUAUUCAGGCUGGGAACGUUAAAAGUGUUACGGUUAUUCCAGUUAUUAUUCCAGUAAUUGUUAAAAUGUAAUUUUUGUCGCAUGCGCGCCUCGCAUUCGGCUCGUGCGCUCCACUUUCCUGGCUGAAAAAGCCAAUUUUCCGCCCUUGUUACACAAUGUACUAUUUAAAUCCGGCAGAGAGCGUCACGGUAUUUCUCUCGGAGAGAGUUUAUAAUUCUCGCUCCUCGCGAGAUAAUCCGGAGGGAAUGCCGCAUCAGCGUUUCGGGCGAAACGCGACGCUCGAGCGCUUUUGCGCGUUAAUGCGCUCUGUGUCCCUUCAGCCGUCAAUCGUCGCGAUAGGAGUUAUCCGCCGGCGGCGGUGUAUUGUUACGCCGCCAUGGCGAAAAGUGGCGUAGCGACAGAGAAACACGAUCGGUGGCUGCGCGCGCGCGGCGACAUUUUCGUCGCAUGCAUAAUUUCUCGGGCCCGCAAUUGCGUCUUCCCGUUACAAGGGAGAGACCCGGCUCCUUGCCUGGAGAGCGCAUUAUCCGCUGGUACAUACAAUGGAACGUGCAACGCGCGCGCGGUAGAUGCGUAUAGACACCCCCGGUGCAGGGGAUGUAAUACAAUUGCCCCCAUGCACACCGAGUUUUCCCGGUGUGCGAGCUGCACGCUGGCCCCGCGUCACGAUGCAGCUCGUACCGGAUCCGUGCCAUCCCUAGCUACACCAGCGGCGUAGUUUACGGUCUAACGGUGCUCGGCGCGAAGCGCCUUAUUAAUAGUUACACUUGGAAACUGCACUGCGCCCCCGUUGGUGUAUACGUAGUGAAAGAUUAACAAUACGCCCGCCGUUCGGCGGAGCUGCCUGCCAUUCGGUUCAGGUAGAAGAACAACCCUCUCGACCGCGGCUGUUUGUCAUGCGGAAGUAUACCUCGCGAGCAAAACACCGGCCGCCGCCGCUGGUUCCGGCGUUUGCGAGCUGACGUCUUGGUUCAUUAACGCGAGGGAUAUCUUUCCGGUUACGGUCUGCUCCAGUAUUACUCGACACGGGUACGUCUGUCGUACCCGACCACUCGCGUUUCGGUACGCUUUCUCGAAAUCUAUACUUUUCCGAAAGAUUUCGCAAGUUCUCUUCGCCAGGCUUCUCGUUUCUCCGUUUCUCCGCGAUACGCUCGGUGUAAUUAAAUUAUAUGCAGCUAAAGAGCGAAAUGUAUCCGCACGACUGUGGUGCGGUUUUCACUAGAGAGAGAGAGAGAGAGUGAGGAAAGACUGAGGGAUAUUAUGCGUUGCAAAUAAAGUACUCACGAGCGAGCCUCGUGCGCGCGGAACGAACGAAAAUGGAAAGCAGCGGUUUCAGGGUGAAACAUGGCUUAUUAUAUACUGCAGAUACGGUUUUAUGAUGGCUCGUUUAACUGUCGCUUUUUUAGCACUCGGAAAAUAUAGCUGUCGUUGCUUGGAAUAAUAUUAGGAGUAAUAUACUCAAUUUGUGUGUGUGUGCGUGUGGAAUAUAAUAAACCUGAAAUAAUAUCAGUUAUUCUUUAACAAAUCACUCUGUCGCUUUAUUACACCUUCGCCACUGCUCCCUUCUUCGUGCUCCAUUUUUUGAAAUUAUAAAUCGGGUCGCAACGUGCGCUUAUUUAUCUCCUUGUUUCCUUAUAAAACAGCAGGAAAGCGACUAUUUCGUUGGUGGACGUGAAUUUAUUCGUUUGAUUCAUUGUAAAAUUACGUUUACGGCAGGACGUUUUGUAAAAGAUCGAUAAGGUGUGGCUGUAAUCAGUGAGAAGCAUGCAGCAAAUGAAUAAUGACGCGAAGGGAUGAUUAAUGUAUCUUCGGUUUAAACAUGAACAACAUAUUAAAUAAUUAUAAAAGUGAUCUUAUCUACCUCUUUUAAUAUUAACAUAAUGUGUGUUUUUACGUAGCUUCCUUUAAUUACGUUCGCUACUGUGUUGUCUUCUUUCGUUCUUAAAAAAAAAAAAAAA